UCCGGCAGCUAGCUCUCUGCAACUCUUACAUGGCCGCCCACCGAAGCUAAGCAGGGCUUCGCCCGGUCAGUACCUGAAUGGUAGACCACGUAGGAAAGCUAGGUUGCUGCCCGAA
rnacentral:rRNA from 1 species